rnacentral:misc_RNA from 1 species
UAUCUGUUUUUGACCAGACUUCUGCAACGGUUUGACGUGGAGCCAGAGGACCCAAAGCGCCUCCCCUCACUGGAAGGGACCCUGGGCAUUACAAAUAUGCCGGAAACGUUCAACGUGAGGUUGAUCAAACGCUAAAUGAUCUGUACAAAUCUUCUGGUUGUUGGAAUCAAUGGGAUAUUUCUCUGUAUAGAAACUACGUGUGUUCCAAACAUGAAACAUUGCAUACUAGUAGUUAGGAAUGUAAACUAUAAAUGAGUACUUUGCUUUAUUAUUUUUAAAAUAUAUGAACAAAAUGUGAUAUUUAUGUAGAAGGCUAGUAAUGCUCGGGCAUUUAUUCCGCAAAUACUUUGCCUUGUUGUAUAGUCUCAUAGGUGAACAUUUAAGUACGCAUCAAACUUGUUGACAUUUAUAUUUUCUCAUUUCUUUUUUUCCAAUGGUUUGUAUAAACAUGUAAUAUAUCUAAUAAAAUAUAUAUGCUUUUAAAA